rnacentral:lncRNA from 1 species
UUCCAGCUUCAAUAGAGACAUGUAUCCCAGCCCUUUCCCUACUUUCCUUCACAGAGAAAUACACAAACUGAGAGGCAGAAGAUUGUGUCUGAAUUUCAGCGACUGCGGCAGUUCCUGCUGGAGAAGCUGGACAAGGAGAUAGUGAAGAUAUAGAAUGAAAAUGUCAGUAAAGUAUCUGAGGAAAUUUCCUGUCUCAGUAACCUGAUCAGUGAGAUGGAAGGGAAGUGUCAGAAGCCAGUGACUGAAUUGUUGCAGGACAUCAGAAGCACCUUGAGCAGGUCUGUGAAGGGGAAGUUCCAGCAGCCAGAGGAGAUUUCUCCUAAGUUAGAAUUAAGACUCAGUGAUUUCUCCCAGAAAACUGUUGCUCUAGUGGAGACUCUCAGGAAGUUCAAAGGUACUGAGAAGGAAUCUAGGAGGGGAAAUUGGGAUGAGCCGCUGAGACUGUGGGAAUAGAAUGGGUCUGGCCAAUUGGUUGAUA